AUGGAAGCAGCAAGUUCCACUUCACUCUCCGAAUUCAUCCACCACAGUGUCAACCGCAUGGAUCAGCAGCAGGAGAGCAUCGUCAACACCGGACGCGCUGUCCAAGCGCUGGUGACACAGGUGUCCGAGCUCACCCAGCAGAUCCAAGAGCUGACCAUUCCCGCUGCGCCACCCGCACCGUCGGUUCCCCGGGCUAGCACCGAACCCAGCUAUCGACCCGAACCACGCCUACCAGUUCCCGAGAACUACUCUGAGCGUUUUAUGCAGUUUCCCGUCUGGUUGCCUGGUUCUCGUCCUUGUUUCUCUGUGCUGUUUGAUUCGCUGUUGUCUUCCCCGGAACCCCGUCCACUCUUCACCACCGGAUGCACCUACUACCACCUCGGACUGCUCAUCUCAGGCCUGUGUCACGCUCUCCUGCUGCAUCUACUCACCGCCACUUCCUGGAUCAUCGUCUUCCAUCGCUGUUACCACCUGUUGUUUCCCUUGGACUCAGUUAUACAUUCCUGUUCUCAAUAAACUUUACAUUUAACUCUUGCAUUUGCUUCCUCACCCAUUUGUUACCGUUACACUCUUCAGCAGGACUCUUUAUUGAGAAUGUGCUUGCGUGGCACUGCCGUCAUCAAAACUCUAACCAAAGCAGUGAUACUUUGGAGUUUAUAUACAUUCAAGGGGGAGGGAAACAUACAGUAGAGGUGGAGACAAUCUACACAAUAAAAUACAAAUGCAAUACAGGAAUCAGCCAGACACUGGCAUUUUCCCAGCCUUGUUCUCAUCAGCAUAACAGUGUCAUUCAAAUGCAUAGGUGCUAAUUCAAUCAGCCUGACAGUAUCGCCCAUACCUUCAUAGAGACAAAGGCACAGCUGUGCCUUGAGUUUAACAAGCCAAAUGGUCAGGAAAAGCAUAAAGACAAAAGGUCAUUAGCAAGACACCUGGGUUUCCUGAUUUGAUCUUUUAGAAAUGUCAUCCUCUUUACCUCAAAAUGUAAUACACAAUGUACAUAACUUUUUUAGUUUAUCUACUAUUACAUUGGAACCUAGAUAUAAAAUAGUAUAAAUUUGUAAUCCCACAAUACACACAUUAACCUAGAUGCCAAUGCAAGGAAGGCAUGGAUAGAGAGAGAGAGAGAGAGAGAGAGCGCAAUGUAGAGAGAGAGAGCACACAAAAGAGUAAUAGCAGGAUUUACAUUUCACGAUUAGGAAUAAGGAAUAAAGAGCAGAUCAUUUUAAUACCAAGAUCGAAACAUCUAGAAGAUAUUAAACUAGAGAUACAUUCAUACACCUGAAUAUUAGCAUUUAGAGCUUAACUAAUACAAAUAAACAGUGGUAACUAGAUUAAUGUAAUAAGGUAACAUACAGACAACACAUGCAUAUACCAGAUGCAUUUGUAACUGAUUGAUUAUAGUCUAAAAUAAAGAAAAUGUCUUUGUGUGUGUGUGUGUGUGAUGUGUUUUGAAAUUGUGGCGAUAGACCACUGAUCUAGUCAGGCCAUUGGUGCCUGGCACAGGGGUCAUUUACUCCUCCUGGAAUGUGUUUGAAGUUCGAUGGGGAGACCAGAGAGUUGAUCUGUUCAGCAUCUUCCAGAUAAUGGGAGUAACCAUUGGCCAUUUAUAGCACCCAUAUAACUAGACUAUGGGGCCAGAUUCUGUAAUUUAUAUGCAAAUGUCAAAAGGCUAAAAGGAAUUUCUGAAACAUAAAGCCCAAACGAUCGUACAUGAUCCUAAGCAGAUGCUAGAGCAUACCAAUACAUGGCGCAAGUGUCAUGGUGAGGAGACAACAUUCAGUGUAUAUGCUGCUCAAGCAGAAACAGCUUAAUUAACAGUUAAUCAAAUGUGUAUGCCAUUCUCUGGACAUUGUAGCUCAAAAGGCAAUGAAUAAUGAACAACAACUCAGAGACUUAGAUCUAAAAUCCUCUAGUAUAUACCUCUCACCUAAAGAUGCUGUCCUGGGGACCACAUUCAGUCAGAAGUUGGAGGCAAGCACCCUGUCACCGGAG
ensembl:lncRNA